rnacentral:rRNA from 1 species
CCCUUAGACGUUCUGGGCCGCACGCGCGCUACACUGACGGAGCCAGCGAGUAUAAACCUUGGCCGAGAGGUCUGGGAAGUCUUGUGAAACUCCGUCGUGCUGGGGAUAGAGCAUUGUAAUUAUUGCUCUUCAACGAGGAAUUCCUAGUAAGCGCAAGUCAUCAGCUUGCGUUGAUUACGUCCCUGCCCUUUGUACACACCGCCCGUCGCUACUACCGAUUGAAUGGCUUAGUGAGGCUUCCGGAUUGGUUUAGAGAAGGGGGCAACUCCAUCUUGGAACCGAGAAGCUAGUCAAACUUGGUCAUUUAGAGGAAGUAAAAGUCGUAACA